UCAGACGAUGCGUCAUGCAUAUCAAUAAGCGGAGGAAAAGAAACUAACAAGGAUCCCCUUAGUAACGGCGAGUGAAGCGGGAAGAGCUCAAAUUUGAAAUCUUCAAGGUUUUACCUUGACGAAUUGUAGUUUAAAGAAGUGUUUUCUGUUGAAGUUUUGGUAAAAGUUCUUUGGAAUAGGACAUCAUAGAGGGUGAGAAUCCCGUAUUUGACCAUUAUUUUCAGCUGUGUGAUACACUUUCAAAGAGUCGGAUUGUUUGGGAAUGCAGUCCAAAAUGGGUGGUAAAUUUCAUCUAAAGCUAAAUAUUGGCGAGAGACCGAUAGCGAACAAGUACCGUGAGGGAAAGAUGAAAAGAACUUUGAAAAGAGAGUUAAACAGUACGUGAAAUUGUCAAAAGGGAAGCGUUUGACACCAGUGUUGUUUUCUCGAAAAUCAAUUAAAAAGAGUUGGAUUUUGUGUUGUAUUGACCUUAACAGCUUGCUUCACUCUUUUCCUGCUUUUUUUAAUGCACUUUUCGUUUAACAAGUCAACAUCAGUUUCUUUUGUUGUAAAAGGGUCAUUGGAAGGUGGCCUUCUCUUCGGAGAAAGUGUUUAUAGCCUUUGAUCUCUGCAAUCGGAGAGACUGAGGUCUGCAGCGUAGAUCCUUCGGGGUUAGAUACAUUUGUGCUAAGCUACAGCUUUUCAUAGACAACUUGUUGACUAUGUUUAGUCUUGUAACUUACCCGCUUAUGCUAUUUUACCUACGCUUAGGAUGUUGAUAUGCAUGACUGAUAU
rnacentral:rRNA from 1 species